rnacentral:rRNA from 1 species
CGAACGCCCGUACCGCUACGGGAGUGGCGGACGGGUGAGUGACGCGUGGGAACGUACCCGGAGGGACGGAAUAACCGAGGGAAACUUCGGCUAAUACCGUAUGAGCCCCGCAAGGGGGAAAGAUUUAUCGCCUUGGGAGCGGCCCGCGUCGGACUAGCUAGUUGGUGGGGUAACGGCCUACCAAGGCUUCGAUCCGUAGCUGGUCUGAGAGGACGAUCAGCCACACUGGGACUGAGACACGGCCCAGACUCCUACGGGAGGCAGCAGUGGGGAAUCUUGCGCAAUGGGGGCAACCCUGACGCAGCCAUGCCGCGCGAACGAUGAAGGCCUUAGGGUUGUAAAGUUCUUUUACCCGUGACGAUGAUGACGGUAACGGGGGAAUAAGCUCCGGCUAACUUCGUGCCAGCAGCCGCGGUAAUACGAAGGGGGCUAGCGUUGUUCGGAAUUACUGGGCGUAAAGCGCGCGCAGGCGGUUCGAUAAGUUGGGGGUGAAAUCCCCGGGCUCAACCCGGGAAUGGCCUUCAAGACUGUCGAGCUAGAGGACGAGAGAGGUGAGUGGAAUUCCCAGUGUAGAGGUGAAAUUCGUAGAUAUUGGGAAGAACACCGGUGGCGAAGGCGGCUCACUGGCUCGUUUCUGACGCUGAGGCGCGAAAGCGUGGGGAGCAAACAGGAUUAUAUACCCUGGUUAGUCCACGCCGUAGACGAUGAGUGCCAGGUGUCGGGGGAC